GCCUGGGUGGCUCAGUUGGUUAAGCAUCUGACUGAGCCUCAGGUUAUGAUCUCAUGGUUCGUGGGUUCAAGCCCCGCAUUGGGCU
rnacentral:tRNA from 1 species